rnacentral:rRNA from 1 species
AGAGAGAGACAUGCGCGCAUAUCAAUAAGCGGAGGAAAAGAAACUAGCAAGGAUUCCCUUAGUAACGGCGAGUGAAGCGGGAAGAGCUCAAAUUUGAAAUCUUCAAGGUUUUACCUUGACGAAUUGUAGUUUAAAGAAGUGUUUUCUGCUGAAGUUUUGGUAAAAGUUCUUUGGAAUAGGACAUCAUAGAGGGUGAGAAUCCCGUAUUUGACCAUUAUUUCCAGCUUUGUGAUACACUUUCAAAGAGUCGGAUUGUUUGGGAAUGCAGUCCAAAAUGGGUGGUAAAUUUCAUCUAAAGCUAAAUAUUGGCGAGAGACCGAUAGCGAACAAGUACCGUGAGGGAAAGAUGAAAAGAACUUUGAAAAGAGAGUUAAACAGUACGUGAAAUUGUCAAAAGGGAAGCGUUUGACACCAGUGUUGUUUUCUCGAAAAUCAAUUAAAAAUGGCUCGAUUUUGUAUUGUUGAGACCUUAAAAGCUCACUGUACAUUUUUCGUGUCUUUUUUAACGCACUUUUCGUUUAACAAGUCAACAUCAGUUUCUUUUGUUGUAAUAGGGUCAUUGGAAGGUGGCUUUCUUUUCGGAGAAAGUGUUUAUAGCCUUUGGCCUCUGCAAUCGGAAGAGACUGAGGUCUGCAGCGUAGACUCUUCGGGGUUAGAUACAUUUGUGCUAAGUUAUAGCUUUUUAUAGACAACUUGUUGACUAUAAUUAGUCUUGUAGCUUACUCGCUUAUGCUAUUUUACCUACGCUUAGGAUGUUGAAGAUGUAGCACAUCAU